rnacentral:rRNA from 1 species
AGAGCGAACGCUGGCGGCAGGCUUAACACAUGCAAGUCGAGCGGAUGUAGCAAUACAUCAGCGGCAGACGGGUGAGUAACACGUGGGAACGUACCUUUUGGUUCGGAACAACACAGGGAAACUUGUGCUAAUACCGGAUAAGCCCUUACGGGGAAAGAUUUAUCGCCGAAAGAUCGGCCCGCGUCUGAUUAGCUAGUUGGUGAGGUAAUGGCUCACCAAGGCGAUGAUCCGUAGCUGGUCUGAGAGGAUGAUCAGCCACACUGGGACUGAGACACGGCCCAGACUCCUACGGGAGGCAGCAGUGGGGAAUAUUGGACAAUGGGCGCAAGCCUGAUCCAGCAAUGCCGCGUGAGUGAUGACGGCCUUAGGGUUGUAAAGCUCUUUCGGCGGGGACGAUGAUGACGGUACCGCAGAAGAAGCCCGGCUAACUUCGUGCCAGCAGCCGC